rnacentral:rRNA from 1 species
CAGCCAUUUCCGUGAAGAUGGAGAUAGGGAGGGAGGGGAAGAACAGGCUGCCGCCGCGCGAUGGAGUUCCUCAUAUAACCAAUCCACAGAUCUACUAUGAUUUAGGAGGUCGGAGAGAGUCUGUUGCCGGAAGGUUCGCCGGCGGAUGUUACAAGGCGAACACUGGUGGAGGUGACGCUGCAGGAGGGCACGGUUUUGAGCGGCGACGGGCGGAUCUGCUGUGCGUCAGGGGCGGUGGCCAUGAGCGGCGAAGGGCGAAUCUGCAGCACGGCGCAGGCCGCAGCAGACGGAAGGGGCAGCUCGCCUCCGACGUCUGAGCUGUUGACGGUGACGACGAAUCCCCAGGCUCCUGGUUGGAAUAAGAGGUGGUGGUAACAACUAUACGAGGCUUGUUUUCGCUAGGUGGUGGUAGUUCAAUGGAUUGGAUGCUAUUCUAGAGGAGAUCAGCAUGAUGCAUGUUCAUGCCUCUCAGGCUGCGUCGGUAAAUGAUGAUGGAAAUGUGCAUGCAAUUAUCGAUGCUGAUGUUAGGGCACCCCCGGACAUCCAUCGGUAAAACAAGAAGAAGGCGCCGAAGAUGGUGAUGUGGAUUGAUGACGUGCACAUAGAUGAUCAGGUUGCUUGGCAACUUGAAACAGAACUGGAUGGGGAAUAUGAGAUGGAAAGAGCAUCCGUGCAACGGUGCAGAAUUUGCAAUGGGUUUGGUUGAAGGGAUUAUUGAGAUCUCCGACAGUGAGAGCAACGUAGAAGUUGAUUCGAAGAAUGGUCUGAUCCUGAGCACGCUAAUCUGGUUGAAACAGAAUAGAAGACUGAGGGAGCAAGAGGAGAAAGAUGCAGCUGUUGGAAGAUGUAUCAAGAAAUGGAUGGCCCAGCUAAUGAGUCACUUGUUGAGAAAGACGGAAAGUUAAGGGAGGAAGAGGAAAAAGACCGGGAGGCUGCAAUGAUGUAUCAAAACCUGUAUGAUCAAAAUGCAACUGAAGCUCAGAUCGCCAAUGCGACAGCAGGUGGAAUUCUUGCUCGAGCGAUCGAACCUGCAGGACGAGAUAGAAGCCCUGUGGAGGGAGGCUGUAUAGGCUAAAAAGCACGGACACGCCAGGAGUCGCCGAACUGCCGUCCUGAUACGGCGGGAUACGGGGAUACGGCGGGAUACGCGAAUUUUGGAGUAUCCCCGAAAUUCGAAUUAAAAAAAAGAAAAAACAAUUGGGAUACGCCGGGAUACGCGGGGACACGUUAGGGAUACGGCCUGGCCCAAAAACACACCCCCGGCCCAGCCACGGCCCAAUAUGUAACCCUAUUUUGCAGGGUCUCCAUACGAGCUGCUCCCUGCCUCCCAGCUCGAGCUGCUCCCUGCCUCCCAGCUCGAACAGAAGGAGCCGCCACCUUCUGGAUCGAAGUUCCCACCACCUGGACUCGCCGCCGCCGGCGCCGGCGACUCCUCCAUCCAGCACCAGCAGCAGCAGUCUCUCUCUCUCCUCGCCUCCUCAGCUCCUCGCAGCUGUAGCCUGUAGGUAACCCAGCAGCUUCUCCAUUCUUCAACCUCUUCCUCUUUUAUUCUUCAGAUUCAGAUUUUGUUCCAUUAUUAAGGGAUUAAGCUACUGGGUCUGGAUGCUUGCUAGCUUGUUGUUGACUUGUUGUUGCUACCUCUCUGCUUGUGCUGCUGCUGUUUGUUAUGCUGUUGCUGCUCGCUUGUGCUGCUUGGGCUGAUGCUGCUGCUGCUAGCCUGCUAGUGCUACUGCCUAUUUCUGAAUUUAACAGCUUGUGUUGCUGCACACUUGUUGAUAGGUACUCCCUCCGUCCGGAAAUACUUGUCGGGGAAAUGGAUGUAUCUAGACGUAUUUUGGUUCUAGAUACAUCUAAUUUUAUCUAUUUGUGCGACAAGUAUUUCCGGACGGAGGGAGUAGCAACUAGCAAGUGGCAUGGCAUCUGGGAGCGCCACAGCUGGUAGCCAAUUUGUGUUUGAUGUGUUUUGCAAGAUGCAACUUGCAAUGAGAUGGGGGGAUGAGGAUCGAUCAAGCACUUGCUAAAAGAGACACCAAAUGGGGCAGUACUCUAGUCUAUUCUUUAUUUUGAUCUAUUUCUCUUUAAUUUUCUGUCUUAACUCUAUAUUACAUGGCAUAUUUUUAUUUUAUUUUAUAUAUACUUGCCGUAUCCCUGAAUGGCUGUUUUUGGAAAAUGCCGUAUCCCGUAUCCCCGUAUCCGUAUCCCCGUCUUUCCGUCCCCGUGUCCGUGCUUUUUAGGAUGCAGGUACUGAAGGUCAUAUAGCAAAUGCGCCAGCAAACGGAAAUGUUGCUCAAGCGGUCGAACCUGCAAAGAUCCAUGCUGUUGCGAUACUAGGUGUCACUGGUAGAGAUAGAAUCGUUGAGUUCGGGCCACCACAGCACAGCUGCACAGAUCGUUGCCUUUUUGGUGGCGGCUGGUGACGGCGACGUUCAUAGCACCGAGACAAUCUGUGGCUGUUAUAUCUGAAGAGAUGCUCGCGGUGGUGCAAGAUCCAACACAGGUAGGGACAUUCAAACAUGGGGAAGUAUGCAGUGGAAGUAGCAAGGAGAGCUGCAUGGGGACGUACGAGCUGGUAUGGAUACCUCCAUCUUAGGGCAAGGCCAACGCUCCAGGAUGGACCGGUGCCCCAGCUGCCAAGUCGGCUUGGAUAGUUGAACCUGAGAAAAAGAUGCUGCUUGCAGCGCUAGACGGGAUCCUGCAGAGGAGGCUGGUUCUCCCGUGAAAAAAGUGCAAGGCAGCCAAUGGGAAAGCGUUGGAAAACACCAUUGCUGAGCUCAACAGUACCUUGCUACCUUCUUGUACAGAGAAAAAGCUACCAAACCUGAGAACACUACUACUGCUUCCGUUGGAUGAAGGUAGAACUAAACAGUAGCUUCAAUUACCUUUUAUCUAGGUGGAGCAUGGGGCACCAGUAUAGUGAUGCCACCAUUGUACAUGCCCUUAGGUGGAAGUCCAUUUUUCCUGGACUACUUUUUCCUUGAUUGGGUGGAUUUUGAAAAGCACAACUUGAAGUACAAUAUGGCGCCAAGGAAAAAGCUGAAGAGGUCAUGGCGGCCAAUCUGGUUUCUUCCGACGCAGUUAGAGAGGAUAAAGAAAGGAGACGAGCAGGAAGGAUCUUGAAGAGGAUGUGUAGUUGAUGAGUUUUGAGUAAAUGAAGUAGCCUCUGCCAAAAAAAAGUAGCUGGUGUGGACGGUGGCCGUUAUGGGAUGACGACUGAGCCGUGGCCCAUAACUCGCACGCCUAUCUGAGCCGGUUAGGAUGGGACGGGGAAAAGGGCAUUAAUUGAGGUAGAUAGGUGGGGCCUGGCCAUGGAAUAGAUUGGAUAUACUAAUCUGAAUACAGAGGAAUAUACAUUGGACAUUGUGAAUCUUUGCGCCAACGAACGACUGGGAUAUGGAGUGCAUCUGAGCUCGAGCUCAGAAUAGCACUUUUCGUUAACCAACUACUAACAUGAGCAAAAAUAGUAUGAGUAGAAAGUUUGCAUGACGAACUCCAUUUUAUCCCUCUUCGAUGCCUGGAUUAAAUCAUAUAAAAAUUGCAAAAUGCUAUGUUCAGAUAAUAGAAUCAACUCCUAGCUACGUGAUGUGUGUGUGCGGGAGUGUGUGUGGUGUGUGUGGCCAGCUGUGCCACAGCCGUGUGUGGCCGGUCAUGCUAGUUAGGAGUAGUUUAAUUAGUAGGAGUACUAGUUAAUUAGUCUAAUAGUAGAUGACAUGUGGAUC